rnacentral:rRNA from 1 species
UAGGGAAUCUUCGGCAAUGGACGAAAGUCUGACCGAGCAACGCCGCGUGAGUGAAGAAGGUUUUCGGAUCGUAAAACUCUGUUGUUAGAGAAGAACAAGGACGUUAGUAACUGAACGUCCCCUGACGGUAUCUAACCAGAAAGCCACGGCUAACUACGUGCCAGCAGCCGCGGUAAUACGUAGGUGGCAAGCGUUGUCCGGAUUUAUUGGGCGUAAAGCGAGCGCAGGCGGUUUCUUAAGUCUGAUGUGAAAGCCCCCGGCUCAACCGGGGAGGGUCAUUGGAAACUGGGAGACUUGAGUGCAGAAGAGGAGAGUGGAAUUCCAUGUGUAGCGGUGAAAUGCGUAGAUAUAUGGAGGAACACCAGUGGCGAAGGCGGCUCUCUGGACAAAGACUGACGCUCAGGUGCGAAAGCGUGGGGAGCAAACAGG